UAACAAGGAUUCCCCUAGUAACUGCGAGUGAAGCGGGAAGAGCUCAAAUUUAAAAUCUGGCGGCUCUGCCGCCCGAGUUGUAGUCUGGAGAAGUGUUAUCCGCGUCGGACCGUGUACAAGUCUCCUGGAAUGGAGCGUCAUAGAGGGUGAGAAUCCCGUCCAUGACACGGACCUCCGAUGCUCUGUGAGGCACUCUCAAAGAGUCGAGUUGUUUGGGAAUGCAGCUCAAAAUGGGUGGUAAAUUCCAUCUAAAGCUAAAUAUUGGCGAGAGACCGAUAGCGAACAAGUACCGUGAGGGAAAGAUGAAAAGCACUUUGGAAAGAGAGUUAAMCAGUACGUGAAAUUGUUGAAAGGGAAACGCUUGAAGUCAGUCGCGUCCCGUGGAACUCAGCCUGGUUUCGGCCUGGUGUACUUUCCUUGGGGACGGGUCAACAUCAAUUUCGGCCGGUGGAAAAGGGCGAGGGGAAUGUAGCGUCGUCUCGGCGGCGUGUUAUAGCCCCCUGUCGUAUACAUUGGCCGGGAUUGAGGACCGCAGCACGCCCUUGUGGCCGGGGUUCGCCCACGUAACGUGCUUAGGAUGUUGGCAUAAUGGCUUUAAGCGACCCGUCUUGAAACACGGACCAAGGAGUCUAACAUGCUUGCGAGUGUUCGGGUGGAAAACCCUUGCGCGUAAUGAAAGUGAAAGUUGGGAGCCUCCGCAAGGGGGUGCACCGACGCCCGGCCCUGACGUUCUCUGACGGUGCUGCGGUAGAGCAGGUAUGUUGGGACCCGAAAGAUGGUGAACUAUGCCUGAAUAGGGCGAAGCCAGAGGAAACUCUGGUGGAGGCUCGUAGCGAUUCUGACGUGCAAAUCGAUCGUCAAAUUUGGG
rnacentral:rRNA from 1 species